rnacentral:misc_RNA from 1 species
GAUGAAGAACGUAGCGAAGUGCGAUAAGUAAUGUGAAUUGCAGAAUUCCGUGAAUCAUCGAAUCUUUGAACGCAAAUUGCACUCUUUGGUAUUCCGAAGAGUAUGCCUGUUUGAGGGUCAGUUAAAUAAAAAUCGGUGUUGUUGCUGCUUUUUUGUGGUGACGCUUCUGAUUUGGGUCGUUCUUACCUUCGGUUAAGUGAUCUAAAAUUUAGCAUGAUUUUUCGAACGUAUUUAAAUUAUUUACGUACGUUUGUGAUAUCAAAUAUAUUAGAUGUGGUCAUUCUCAUGAUUCGUGUCUAUAAUUUUUCAUAUAAUGACCUCAAAUCAGGUAGGAGUACCCGCUGAACUUAAGCAUAUCAAUAAGCGGAGGA